UGCGCAGGCGGUAAAUUAAGUCAACUGCUAAAUUCCUCAGCCUAACUGAGGUCAUGCGGUAGAUACUGGUUUACUAGAGGGUGGAAGAGAGAAGUGGAAUUCUCGGAGUAGCGGUAAAAUGCGUAGAUCUCGAGAGGAACACCAAUGGCGAAGGCAGCUUCUUGGUCCAUUUCUGACGCUCAUGCACGAAAGCGUGGGGAGCAAACA
rnacentral:rRNA from 1 species